GAUAAUUAGCAAUGUGAACAGAUUCAACCUGCUCGUUAUAGAAGAAGAGUUGUGAGACUUAGAGGGUCUUGGAAGACUUGAAGUGUGUGUUAAAGGGCUGAAGAUCAUGUUUGGGGUAAAAUUGAUCACUUUUAACCUUCUUUCUUCUGCCUUACAUGGAUAUUCUAUACCAAGUAUCAGUAUGGUUGUACCUCUAGUUUAGUAAAGAGGAAGGUU